AGGUUCGAUUCUGGCUCAGGAUGAACGCUAGCUACAGGCUUAACACAUGCAAGUCGAGGGGCAUCAUGGAGUUGCUUGCAAACUCUGAUGGCGACCGGCGCACGGGUGAGUAACGCGUAUCCAACCUUCCCUAUAGUAGAGGAUAGCCCGGCGAAAGUCGGAUUAAUACUCUAUGUUUUCCGUUGCAGACAUCUAAGAUGGAACAAAGGCUUGCCGCUAUAGGAUGGGGGAUGCGUCUGAUUAGGUAGUCGGCGGGGUAACGGCCCACCGAGCCAUCGAUCAGUAGGGGUUCUGAGAGGAAGGUCCCCCACAUUGGAACUGAGACACGGUCCAAACUCCUACGGGAGGCAGCAGUGAGGAAUAUUGGUCAAUGGGCGAGAGCCUGAACCAGCCAAGUAGCCGUGCAGGACGACGGCCCUAUGGGUUGUAAACUGCUUUUAUGCGGGGAUAAAGUUCACUACGUGUAGUGUUUUGUAGGUACCGCAUGAAUAAGGACCGGCUAAUUCCGUGCCAGCCGCAGC
rnacentral:rRNA from 1 species